GAGAGAUUGCUUAGUGGUUAGUUUCUGGCGCUCAUGCAGAGGGCCUGGGUUCAACUCCCAGUUCUCUCA
rnacentral:tRNA from 1 species